rnacentral:rRNA from 1 species
GGACGAGAAGCUUGCUUCUCUGAUGUUAGCGGCGGACGGGUGAGUAACACGUGGAUAACCUACCUAUAAGACUGGGAUAACUUCGGGAAACCGGAGCUAAUACCGGAUAAUAUUUUGAACCGCAUGGUUCAAAAGUGAAAGACGGUCUUGCUGUCACUUAUAGAUGGAUCCGCGCUGCAUUAGCUAGUUGGUAAGGUAACGGCUUACCAAGGCAACGAUGCAUAGCCGACCUGAGAGGGUGAUCGGCCACACUGGAACUGAGACACGGUCCAGACUCCUACGGGAGGCAGCAGUAGGGAAUCUUCCGCAAUGGGCGAAAGCCUGACGGAGCAACGCCGCGUGAGUGAUGAAGGUCUUCGGAUCGUAAAACUCUGUUAUUAGGGAAGAACAUAUGUGUAAGUAACUGUGCACAUCUUGACGGUACCUAAUCAGAAAGCCACGGCUAACUACGUGCCAGCAGCCGCGGUAAUACGUAGGUGGCAAGCGUUAUCCGGAAUUAUUGGGCGUAAAGCGCGCGUAGGCGGUUUUUUAAGUCUGAUGUGAAAGCCCACGGCUCAACCGUGGAGGGUCAUUGGAAACUGGAAAACUUGAGUGCAGAAGAGGAAAGUGGAAUUCCAUGUGUAGCGGUGAAAUGCGCAGAGAUAUGGAGGAACACCAGUGGCGAAGGCGACUUUCUGGUCUGUAACUGACGCUGAUGUGCGAAAGCGUGGGGAUCAAACAGGAUUAGAUACCCUGGUAGUCCACGCCGUAAACGAUGAGUGCUAAGUGUUAGGGGGUUUCCGCCC